UUUGGACUGUGGACUCGAGUUAAUGUUGAAAUGAGUCAAGACUUUGGGGGACUGUUGGGAAGACGUAAUUGGUUUUUAAAUGUGAGAACAUGAGAUUUGAGAAGGUCCAGAGGUGGAUUGAUAUGGUUUGGCAGUGUCUCCAUCUAUAUCUCAUCUUGAAUUGUAGCUCCCAUAAUUCUCAUGUGUUGUGGGAGGGACCCAGUGUAAGGUAAUUGAGUCAUGGGGCAGGUCUUUCCCAUGCUGUUCUCAUGAUUUUGAAUAACUCUCAUGUGAUCUGAUGGUUUUAUAAAGGGGAGUUCCCCUGCACAUGUCCUCUUGCCUGCCACCAUGUAAGACUUUUUUUGCUUCCCCUUCAACCUCUGCCAUGAUUGUGAGGCCUCCCUAGCCACAUGGAACUGUGAGUCAAUUAAACUUCCUUUCUUUAUAAAUUACCCAGUCUUGGGUAUGUCUUUCUUAGCAGCAUCGGAAUGGACUAAUACACUGGCUAAACCACAUAAUUGAAAUAGAAGCUGUGUAGUAAGAUCACAAGAAAUGUAGAAACAAAGCAGUUCCCAGAGAUCUCAGUAGCAGAGAUUUAUGACAUCUUCAUUAGGGCACAGUCAUGGCAUGGCAUUGACUCGGUUCUGACCAACUUUAGUCCUUUUUGGCACUCUACUAUGUAUUCAAUUCUUGGAAAAGAUUGAUUGAUUUUGUUUGAUUCGUGUCCUCAUUCUGUAGAGCAACACUGUUGCUGACAGUCCUAACAGAACAUUAUGAAACGGGAGAGGUAAUUUCUUCUGAAACAAAUAUGCAUAGGUGCACUAUGUAGGCAAAAGGAGCUGCAAAGGACAAAGAGCAACAGACUCCAGACAUGCAUACCACAUCAUCAUGAGAAAUGUGGAUGCUAAACUGAAGACAACAGAGUGACACUGGGCAAUUCAUACAGGAGAAUGACAUGAGCAGGUCUGCACUGAAGAUAAACACUAUGAGGUAUGGAUUAUCGGUGGAUCAUCCUGAAGGCCUAAAGUUAUAAAAGUGAGAGAUUGUGGAUGGAGAACUGAACAAGAUAGUAGUAGGAGGAACAGAGAGAAGAAAACUGGUUCAAGAGAUAUUAACCUGUAGAAGGAAAAGGGCAAGGAGAAGCCAUAUGUAUUAGAGCAGCUAGCAUAUUUUCAGGAACAAAGCAAUAACUCAGCAAAUAUCAAUUGAUAUGACAUAAACACAGAACACUAUGUCUUAGAAGGUGCUUAGUAAAUUUUGGCACUUUUAGACAUUCUAUGCAUUACAACACCUGAAUUUUUUCAAAUUGCUCUUAUUUUCUUUACAUAAUUCAUAAAAAUUUCUUUACUCCCUCAAUCUUCAUAGUUGUAUUGCCAAAUUAUAAGUAAGGAUGUUUGCAUUUUUAGGGAAAAUGUAAUUGUUUCAUUUGAAGAAGAAUCUUUAGGUGAGAAUUAAAUUGAACAUUUAGAAUAAAUAGUUUCAAACAUGCACAUGUUGCUUAAAAUGCAAGAAGAUAGAAAACCUUGGUAGGUGGAUAUAUAAGAGUAACUCUAAUAAAAUCUUCCAAAUUUUAUAUUUGUUGAUGAUGAUAGCCUUUACGAAGCUCAGAUUUCAGCUUUUUUCUCUUCUACAACUGUGACAAAUGCAAAAGUAUUUUUCACCCAUUUUAAGAAAACAAAACAAUUUUCUUAGCACACGGAAUUUCACAGUAAUUAAUUGGAAGAUAUGGAAGUUAAUAAGAUUUGAUAUAAUCUGAUUUGUGUGAAUUAAAUCAUUUUAGUUGUUAAGCUUGUGUAAUGGCAGCCCAAAUAUUAGAUAAUUCCUUGUUUCUGGAACAAAGUAAGAUGAGCAAGGAAAAAAAAAAAAAAAA
rnacentral:lncRNA from 1 species